UACGGAGGGAGCUAGCGUUGUUCGGAAUUACUGGGCGUAAAGCGCGCGUAGGCGGCUUUGUAAGUUAGAGGUGAAAGCCCGGGGCUCAACCCCGGAACAGCCUUUAAGACUGCAUCGCUAGAAUCCGGGAGAGGUGAGUGGAAUUCCGAGUGUAGAGGUGAAAUUCGUAGAUAUCAGGAGGAACACCAGUGGCGAAGGCGGCUUCCUGGACACCAACUGACGCUGAGACGCGAAAGCGUGGGGAGCAAACAGG
rnacentral:rRNA from 1 species